rnacentral:rRNA from 1 species
AGAGUUUGAUCCUGGCUCAGAUUGAACGCUGGCGGCAGGCCUAACACAUGCAAGUCGAACGGUAGCACAGAGAGCUUGCUCUCGGGUGACGAGUGGCGGACGGGUGAGUAAUGUCUGGGAAACUGCCUGAUGGAGGGGGAUAACUACUGGAAACGGUAGCUAAUACCGCAUAACGUCGCAAGACCAAAGAGGGGGACCUUCGGGCCUCUUGCCAUCAGAUGUGCCCAGAUGGGAUUAGCUAGUAGGUGGGGUAACGGCUCACCUAGGCGACGAUCCCUAGCUGGUCUGAGAGGAUGACCAGCCACACUGGAACUGAGACACGGUCCAGACUCCUACGGGAGGCAGCAGUGGGGAAUAUUGCACAAUGGGCGCAAGCCUGAUGCAGCCAUGCCGCGUGUAUGAAGAAGGCCUUCGGGUUGUAAAGUACUUUCAGCGGGGAGGAAGGUGUUGUGGUUAAUAACCGCAGCAAUUGACGUUACCCGCAGAAGAAGCACCGGCUAACUCCGUGCCAGCAGCCGCGGUAAUACGGAGGGUGCAAGCGUUAAUCGGAAUUACUGGGCGUAAAGCGCACGCAGGCGGUCUGUCAAGUCGGAUGUGAAAUCCCCGGGCUCAACCUGGGAACUGCAUUCGAAACUGGCAGGCUAGAGUCUUGUAGAGGGGGGUAGAAUUCCAGGUGUAGCGGUGAAAUGCGUAGAGAUCUGGAGGAA